AAAGGUUACAGAGGCUGCAGUGGGGACAUGAAGUCUGGGGCCAGAGGGGGAGGAUCUGUAUUUUGUGUUGAGUAUAACUCCUGCAGGUGUUGGUGAUAAGAGUGUUUGGAGUUAGAAUGGUGCACUCCCUGCUGGUGUAGCUCUCUGAGUACUGCUCUCAGGGUAUGAAAGAACAGAUGUGGCAUCUCAAAACCAGUAUCUUGGACAGAGUUGAGUUUUGUUCUCAAAUGCCCAGGAAGAAGGUUGCCAGAAGAGCCCCUUCCUGAAAUCUCAUUUCAGCAUUACAGAGAACUUGUCUCCUUCUUCGUGGUCAGAUGUUCAUGUAAACAGAAGUAAAUUACCUCAGGAAGAGCCCUCUGCAGUUUUCACCCUUAUGAAGCUAUCAUCAUUUUUGCUCAUUAAUUUGAGAGUGAAGUUGCUUGCAGUCCAGCGCUAAUAACAGAAAUACUCCAUUUAUACCCAUUAAGCUCUCAACUUAGUGCUUUUAUAUAGCUGAUUUGUAGCAGAACUUGGUUGGACUCUGCUUUCAUUUAAGCAUAUUUAACCCAGUUUAAUGGGUAUAAAGCAGAAUUGUCAUCCUUAUUUUUUUCUAAUGAGGCACUGUAGAUGUUCUGUCUGUAGGCUCAUUGCUCAAACCACUCUCCUGCUUGCUGCUUGGCUCCUCUCCUGCUUUCUGCCCCAGAACCUGCUGCUCUCUGCUGUUUCGUAGGAGAAAUGUCCAACACAUACACCACAUGGCAUGUGUCAGCCUGAAGGUUCAAGCUGAGAUCACAUAAUGUUCUGCUUCUCCUUGGGGAUGCUUCUGGCCACCUUCCUUCCUAGGACUACACCGUUCUUCCCGUCAUUAUAAGAUGCCCCUGGAGGGAGGUCCAGAGGGACAGGUGGCUGUGGUCACCCCCAGGUGGCCUCUGGGGGGUCAGUCGGGAGCAGGACACCUCAAUUGCUCACACAACAGAACACCGUUCCAGCUGGCCUCUUUCCUGGGGCAACUCCACAGCUUCAGCUGAGCACGUGCUGUGUAACAGACACCCUGAAUAUUCCUAUGAGCAAGACUGACCCUGCUAAGGAUGAAUUCAUUAGCUGUAUGGCCCUGCAGUGCCGGAGAGAGUUUCUGUGCAUCAGAACCUUGCUGGGCUACUUCAAGAAGAAGACUGUAUCUUUCUGAAGAAGAAAGAUGAUGUAAGAUGCCCUCACCUGCACACGUGUAUUCUCACCUUAUAGCAGAUUCCUGCAAACAGCUGUGCUGAACUGGAAGAUAAGGGGUGAACUGUGUUGCAGGAACAAGCAGCCAGAGCACUGAAUUCACUGCCAAAAAACCCAACGUGCCUACAUGUAGAAUGCACCCUGGCAGCAAGAUUCUCUGCUUGCAGAAUCCAAUUGCAGUGGUUCCCAAGUAGCACAUCUGCUGCUGCCAUCAGCCUAAAGCAAGGUGAGGGUUGGGAGCAGGACCUGCAGAGCCUAACAUCCCCCUGCUUCCUUCUGUUCCCAUCAGCAGCUGCUUAGGAAAAGGUACAGGAAUGCAACAAGUGUGGGGUGAUAUUUUUCCCAGAACAGCCCUUUAGCCUCAAGCCAUUUGAAGUUCACAGAAUUCCUGAACCAAGAACCGAAGAUGGAAUCUCUGUGGCAAGAAAAUAAUUUCAAGUGUUUCCAGGGCCUUGAGAGAAACGGGAGUUCACUGAGAGGAGGAGGCUGACUGGGGGAGUGGGGGGUACUGCCUGCAGGCCGGGUCCUGUGCAUUUAAUCCACCCACGGGAUGUGUUUCCAGGAGAAAAACUGCAGCAGGUGCCUGGGAGCAGGGGGAUGAGGCGGACGCUGCUCAGAGCAUCCUGACGUCCCGGGAUCUGGGGGGGGAUCUGUACGCUGCCAUCCCGGGAGCUGCCGCUAGAGGGCGCUCUGAGUCCGCCGCGGCGCCCCCGGCGCUGCACAACCAGGUUCCGGCUGUGACCCGGGGGCACGCAUCCGCACCCGCCCUGAUGUGUCACCUCCCCUUACAUGUCGCGACAUUUAAAGGGCUGGCAGCGCUGGGAAGGGUGAGCUGGCCACGUACGUGGUCUCAGUGCUCGGCUGCUCUGAGCUGUCACCAGAGAGAAGCGCGCUGACAGCAGCGUGGAACGUUAUCAGUGCGGGGGCUGUGUCCUGCGUGUCCCUGCCCUUGCUUUCCUGGGCGCUCCUUUUUGGGAGUUCCCGUCUAGCUCAGCGCCGACAGGCCGGCCCCUGCUUAUGCAGGCGAGGGAGAGCCCGUGAGAAGGAAACCCCCAAAGAAAGAACUUUUUGUGACUGUACCUAUGGAAAUGCUGGCUAUUCCCAACCAACCCGUAGCCACUCAGCUUGAGCAGUGUCAUUUCAACCACAAAAAAACAAGGAUGUGAGAUAACUCCAGUCUCUGCCCCAAACCUCCUCUGGAUCUCACCCACACCUGACCUCUGGGUUACCAUGAGGUGAAAGCAGGAUGUCUGACAGCUGCAGACAAACUCUGUGUCCCCUUAAGAGUACCUGCUCCGUCCUCUUCCUUGCAGGGCUGUGCAGACCCGACCCUGAGCUGGUGCUGGUGCUGUUACUGCCAGGGGACUAAGAAGGACUUUCCUUUCUGUAGUCGUUCCCCUCCCUCUGGGAUCAGAGCUGCUCGUGCUCCCUGCCCUCGUCACCACUAUUUCAGUCCUUUAAAAGAGAUUCCAGGUGUGCUCAGGAAACAGCAAACAUCGUGGAAGGCGGAACCACAAUACCUGUGUUCUAGGUUUGGAUUUUGUGGUUCCACUCGGGCCGUGGCUGGGAAGAAGCCCUGCCUCGAGUCAAGCAGGUGACCUCUGCAACACGCACCCAGCAAGCAGAGGGAGGCAAGUUGUCUUUGAGACGUCUGGGACCAGGGCCUGCAUCGAGCUGCCAUGUCCUGGGGUGUGCUCUGCAUUCCCAGGUGCAGGGCCAAGCGCUGACACCCCCAGGGCUGCGCCCACCUCACACACAGCUCCUGCAGCAAAUCCACCAGC